AGACCUUGUCUCCAUUAAGAAAAAAAAGAGAGAGAGAGAGAGAGGGAUGUGUACCCAUCUUGAUCCUCUCAUAAGGCCAAGAUACCCUUUGAAGGCAAGGACCAGAGACAUGAUCCCUUCCCAACUCCCUAUGACACCUCCUGGAAUCUCUCUGCCUAUCAGGUCUUGGUGUUAGGACAGACGCUUCUGGAAUCCCUUCUUGGACUCCCAGGCUGGUGGUCAGGGAUUAUCACCCAGGCAUUCCUCUCCAGCAGGGCCCUGAGCACCCUGGGCUUUUGUACCCCCAGCAGGGGGCUGGUGCCAUGAUUGCUCAUUCACAUAUGAACACUCACCUAACACAGGCAGGAACGGCAAUGAGUGUGGUGUGGGAAAAAGGCACAAAUAGAAAGACGCCAACUUAGAAGCCAGCUGCCUGCCCCACCCCCAGUCCCUUCUGCUCCCUGCUGCUGCCUCAGUCACUCAGCAAGGCCAUCAUCAGUCAAAGAGCCCCACCUUGGGGCCUUCGCAUAAGAUGUUCCCACUGAGUAGCGUGCUUUCUUCCCUAGCACCCACCUGCCGAAUGCUUAACCAUCCUGCAGGACACCCCUUAAAUAUCACUUGUUCCAGAAACAGUUCCCUGCUACCCAGUCCCACACCACAAUCCACGGGGUCCUCCCUUUCCCUCAUAGUACAAAUCAUAAGCACAACCAGGUAAUUAACUGUAAUUAAUUGUGUGACUGUUGAACAGGCUCCAGGGCACAGGCACAGUGCCUGUGCCCACCUCCUACGUUGCUUUCCAUUAUUGCCCAGGGCUCAAGGCAGCCUGGUAGGGAGGAAUAGAUCAGCGGGGACAGAGCAGGAGCCACCUUACAUGGUGAAGUCCUUCUCCUCCUUCAUGCGCUCGAUGUUGUGCCUCAACACCGUGUUCUCGUGCUCAGUCUCAGCCAGUUCGUGGGCCACCUCCUCCAGCUCUUCCUUCCGUUCCUCCAGGAACCUUUUGGCCAUCUGGCGCUCACCUUUUUGCAUCUUGACCUGAGCAGGGGGACCCAGGCAGGGGCCACUGAAGGGAGGUCCUUCCUCUAUGCCACAUUGCUAGGCUCAAUGCUUUGGACCAAAAUAAGGCCCCGGCCGGGCGUGGUGGCUCACGCCUGUAAUCCCAGCACUUUGGGAGGCCAAGGUGGGUAGGUCACUUUUGGUCAGGAGUUCGAGACCAGCCUGACCAACAUGGUGAAACCCCAUCUCUACUGAAAAUACAAAAAUUAGCCAGAUGUGGUGGCACAUGCCUGUGAUCCCAGCUACUCUGGAAGCUGAAGCAAGAGAGUCGCCUGAACCCAGGAGCCAGAGGUUGCAGUGAGCCGAGAUCGUGCCCACUGCACUCCAGCCUGGGCGGACAAGAGUGAGACUCCAUCUCAAAAAAAAAAAAACAAAAACAAAAAAAUAAGGAGCCUUCCAAUUGAGAACUACACAGGCUGCAUGCCAGGGCCUUAUGGGUGCAAUCUCAGUUAACUGCCAUGAAGACUGACUCUCCUGGGAGAUGCUGAUUUUCUUUUUGUAGAUGAGGAAACUCAGUACAGAGAGCCCCAGUGACUUGUGGGUUGGGAACGAAGCCAGGUUGCAAACCGUGGUUUGGCUGGCACACCAUAGGAGGAGAGAUGUCACAAAAAGGCUCUUGCACUUUGAGUUAUAGGGGAAGAAGGGCUUUUUUUUUUUUUCUUUUGAAACAGGGUCUCACUCUGUCAUCCAGGCUGGAGUGCAGCGGUACGAUCUCAGCUCACUGCAACCUCUGCCUCCUGGGUUCAAGUGAUUCUUCUGCCUCAGCCUCCCAAGUAGCCGGGAUUACAGGCGUGUGCCUGGCAAAUUUUUGUAU
rnacentral:lncRNA from 1 species